rnacentral:rRNA from 1 species
AUACGGAGGGUGCAAGCGUUGCUCGGAAUCACUGGGCGUAAAGCGCACGCAGGCGGUCUGGUAAGUCGGAUGUGAAAGCCCUGGGCUCAACCCAGGAACUGCAUUCGAUACUGCCCGACUUGAGUACGGGAGAGGGAGGUGGAAUUCCUGGUGUAGAGGUGAAAUUCGUUGAUAUCAGGAGGAACACCGGCGGCGAAAGCGGCCUCCUGGCCCGUUACUGACGCUCAUGUGCGAAAGCGUGGGGAGCAAACAGGAUUAGAUACCCUGGUAGUCCACGCUGUAAACGAUGAAUGCUAGGUGUUGGGGGUAUUCACCCCCUCAGUGCCGAAGCUAACGCAUUAAGCAUUCCGCCUGGGGAGUACGGCCGCAAGGUUGAA